AAUCUAGUGGAAACACUUCUGCACAAACUAGACUAUGGAUACCAGUGUGCAGAAAUGCUUCUGCUACAUU
rnacentral:pre_miRNA from 1 species